GAUGGGUUCGGCUGCUGGAUCACUACCUAAACCUCUGACUAUGAUGUCUAUUUGAUGUCUGUGGAUGUUCAAGAGCAGUUUACUACUUGGAACUCUUAUUAGGACCUCUGAUAAACAUCUGUGGGCAUGCAAUACUGGUUUACUGCUUGGACCUUUGACUAGGACUUCUUUUGGACAUCUGUGGAUGUGCAAGAUGAGCUCACAACCUGGACCUCUGACUAGAAGCUUUCCAUGCCUACCUUCACGCAGCAGCUUGUAA
rnacentral:lncRNA from 1 species